UACGUAGGGUGCAAGCGUUUGUCCGGAAUUAUUGGGCGUAAAGAGCUCGUAGGCGGCUUGUCACGUCUGCUGUGAAAACUCGGGGCUCAACCCCGAGCCUGCAGUGGAUACGGGCUAGCUAGAGUGCGGUAGGGGAGACUGGAAUUCCUGGUGUAGCGGUGAAAUGCGCAGAUAUCAGGAGGAACACCGGUGGCGAAGGCGGGUCUCUGGACCGAUACUGACGCUGAGGAGCGAAAGCGUGGGGAGCGAACAGG
rnacentral:rRNA from 1 species